UACGUAGGGUGCGAGCGUUGUCCGGAAUUAUUGGGCGUAAAGAGCUUGUAGGCGGUUUGUCGCGUCUGCUGUGAAAAUCCGGGGCUCAACCCCGGACUUGCAGUGGGUACGGGCAGACUAGAGUGUGGUAGGGGAGACUGGAAUUCCUGGUGUAGCGGUGAAAUGCGCAGAUAUCAGGAGGAACACCGAUGGCGAAGGCAGGUCUCUGGGCCACUACUGACGCUGAGGAGCGAAAGCGUGGGGAGCAAACAGG
rnacentral:rRNA from 1 species